UAAUACAUGCAAGUCGAACGCGCAGCGAAAGGUGCUUGCACCUUUCAAGCGAGUGGCGAACGGGUGAGUAACACGUGGAUAACCUGCCUCAAGGCUGGGGAUAACAUUUGGAAACAGAUGCUAAUACCGAAUAAAACUUAGUAUCGCAUGAUACAAAGUUGAAAGGCGCUACGGCGUCACCUAGAGAUGGGUCCGCGGUGCAUUAGUUAGUUGGUGGGGUAAAGGCCUACCAAGACAAUGAUGCAUAGCCGAGUUGAGAGACUGAUCGGCCACAUUGGGACUGAGACACGGCCCAAACUCCUACGGGAGGCUGCAGUAGGGAAUCUUCCACAAUGGGCGAAAGCCUGAUGGAGCAACGCCGCGUGUGUGAUGAAGGCUUUAGGGUCGUAAAGCACUGUUGUAUGGGAAGAAAUGCUAGAAUAGGGAAUGAUUCUAGUUCGACGGUACCAUACCAGAAAGGGACGGCUAAAUACGUGCCAGCAGCCGCGGUAAUACGUAUGUCCCGAGCGUUAUCCGGAUUUAUUGGGCGUAAAGCGAGCGCAGACGGUUGAUUAAGUCUGAUGUGAAAGCCCGGAGCUCAACUCCGGAAUGGCAUUGGAAACUGGUUAACUUGAGUGUUGUAGAGGUAAGUGGAACUCCAUGUGUAGCGGUGGAAUGCGUAGAUAUAUGGAAGAACACCAGUGGCGAAGGCGGCUUACUGGACAACAACUGACGUUGAGGCUCGAAAGUGUG
rnacentral:rRNA from 1 species